AGUUCAAACAACUUUUCGCCGUACCACAGUUUUCUAGAUUGAAACCUCGUUACUGAAAUAUACUUUUCAAGAAGUGUGUCCGGUAGAAGAGAGUGUUUUCCUUGCCAACUUGCCUUAUUUCCCUCUUUCGAGUAUUAUCCCUUUUGUUCAGCUCACAACAGUACAUUCUAUACUACAUAAAGUAUAUUCUGUAGUACAUACAGUACAUUCUAUACUACAUGCAGUACAUUCUAUACAACAUUCAGUAUACUCUGUAGUACAUACAGUACAUUCUAUACUACAUACAGUAUAUUCUGUAGUACAUACAGUACAUUCUAUACUACAUACAGUACAUUCUUUAGUACAUAAAUUACAUUCUUUACAUCUAAUACCUCUAACGGUACAUAUUGAUUAUUAAUACACUUUCUCAAAUUCACUGAUUAAUAAAUAAGGCAAAUCGGUCCAGGGCUUCAUGAGUUAUGAUUAGACAUACAAACAAACAGAGAUUACUACUUUAUAAGUAGAUCAUGUAUACAUCGGUAUAUGUGAAUGAUACUAUUCAAUAGUUGUGAUGCUUCCAUAACUUACACUACACAUGCAGACUAUACCUUUAUGGACAAUCUUGAACCUCUGAUUGAAAGAUGGAUGGGUCCUGUAUCCCUAGCAGUCUACGCCCCUGGAGAAGAUUUUAUGAAUUCAAUCAAGACAAUUCUGUACUUCAGGUCGCUAUAUUGGUGUUUUAUCU